UUGGCGCGUUCGAAGCAGUGUCCAAAAUCUUUCCUGCAUUUUCAGGGGGGGCGCUGGGCUUACAGAAG
rfam:Felis catus cont1.662488, whole genome shotgun sequence.